rnacentral:rRNA from 1 species
AUUCCAGCUCCAGUAGCGUAUAUUAAAGUUGGUGCAGUUAAAAAGCUCGUAGUUGGAUUUCUGGCUUUAUAGAACUGACCCGCCACGUUAGUGUGUGAGUGUCGGCUUCUAUAUGCCAUCCUUCCAGAGAACACUUCUACCAUUUAUUUGGACGGAUGUUGUCUUCUGGAUCUUUUACUUUGAAAAAAUUAGAGUGUUUAAAGCAGGCCUUUGCUGUGAAUACAUUAGCAUGGAAUAAUAAUCUAGGACUUCGGUUCUAUUUUGUUGGUUUCUAGUACUGAAGUAAUGAUUGAUAGGGAUAGUUGGGGGUGCUAGUAUUGGCCGGCCAGAGGUGAAAUUCUUGGAUUCGGUCAAGACUAACUUAUGCGAAAGCAUUCACCAAGGAUGUCUUCAUUA